rnacentral:rRNA from 1 species
UAACAUAACCUACGUAUAAAUUUACCAAAUCACCUGGAAUAUGCUCGAUGUCAUGAGAUCUUGGAAGCCAAGCAGGAUCACACCUGAAUAGUGCUUGGAUGGAUGACUACCCUGGAUAGACCAGGUGGUCAUGGGGU